AAAAAAGUGAAAAAUCUUAGUUAACUUUAUCGCGCGUGAGAAGUGAAGUGGGUGUUUGGGAGGAAUAUUCCGUAUUCGCGUUGAAAGUUCUUUCGCUGAGCACCUAUAGAGCGUCAACGCCAUUUCUACCGCAAAUCUGAGUGUCAUCCUUUGGAUACUUUACCUUACAAAAGUAUACCGAGUACACCGUGAGAGUCACACAUUGAACGGUUUUCCAGUGAGUACCAGUGAGUACGAUUGUAAUAGCACCGGUGGUGUUCCGUUUCCACGGUUCCUAUCUUACCUAAAAGUGUGACGGUGGGAAGACAGGUGCGGUGCAUUGUAUGCAUGCAAGUGCAUCCGCAAGUGCUAUCGAAGGUUUGUUCUGUGAGGUCGUAUACGCAUUUGCAACCAAAAAAAGGGGUGUUGCUGCUGCUGCUGUUUGUUUGCUGUUGUUGCUGUGGACCUGCUUCCGUGUUGAAGGUGUUGUUGCUGCUGUAUUUAUCUUUUGCUUCGUGGGACCCUUGUUGCAAAUAUAUCGACGUCGACUCAUUCUGAGUAGGGUGGUUAUACAUAUAAUUGACAUCGUUGUCAUCAGGUGUCGCUAGGGGGAAGAGUGAUUUCAGCUCAUAAACGUCAACUAAAAGUAGUUCCUGCCUCUCGCCGGAAGGCCUCAAGGACUUUUGCUUUCCAAGGAGAGAGUGCUUCAUUACAAGCUGGGAAUGCUACAGCAGAACAGUUGUCAACGGAAAAUUGUGUUGAAAUGCCAGCGGUUGCAAGCACCAGUAAACGUAGAAGAGAGGAGGAUGACGAUUCGAAUUCGAGCACCGAUUUUUAUGGCUUUGCUGCCGAUUCAUUUAUCUUCUCUGGUGAGGAUUUCGAAUAUGUCAGUCGGAAUCGAACUGCGCAACCGGCUGAAGAGUUUCGGCGUUCGAAAAGAAGAUGUGUGAAGAAAAAGAAAGAAGAUUAUGUAUACUAUUGAAAUUAACUGUUAUCGAAUUCUCAGUUUUAGACGUAAGUUGUUUUGUUUUGAAUUUGAUCUGUCGAAUAUAUAUUUAUUGGUCUCUCAACUAAACGGUGAAGAAGUUGUAGCGGUGUAAUCCACCUUUCAGAUUCAUAAAGAUCAGUAACAGGGACAGUUACCUCGAAUGAAUAAUAUUAAUAAUAAUAUAUCAUUGAAUAUGAUGAGAGUCGAGAGAGUAGAGAGUGAGCUAGA